rnacentral:rRNA from 1 species
UACGGAGGGUGCAAGCGUUAUCCGGAUUCACUGGGUUUAAAGGGUGCGUAGGCGGCCGUGCAAGUCUGGCGUGAAAGCCCCGGGCUCAGCCCGGGAAGUGCGCUCGAAACUGCGCGGCUCGAGUGCCGGAGGGGAGAGUGGAAUUCCUGGUGUAGCGGUGAAAUGCGUAGAUAUCAGGAGGAAUACCGGUGGCGAAAGCGACUCUCUGGACGGCAACUGACGCUGAGGCACGAAAGCGUGGGGAGCAAACAGG